GCCUCUAUAGCACAGUGGUAGUGCGUUCCCUUCGUAAGGGAAAGGUCGUGAGUUCGAUCCUCACUGGAGGCA
rfam:Marchantia polymorpha subsp. polymorpha scaffold3988, whole genome shotgun sequence.